GACGAACGCUGGCGGCGUGCUUAACACAUGCAAGCCGAACGGUGAAAGCGGAGCUUGCUCCGCUGGAUCAGUGGCGAACGGGUGAGUAACACGUGGUCAACCUGCCCCUCACUUCGGGAUAACUCCGGGAAACCGGGGCUAAUACCGGAUAUGACCUCCUUGGGCAUCCUUGGAGGUGGAAAGUUUUUCGGUGAGGGAUGGGCCCGCGGCCUAUCAGCUUGUUGGUGAGGUAGUGGCUCACCAAGGCGACGACGGGUAGCCGGCCUGAGAGGGCAACCGGCCACACUGGGACUGAGACACGGACCAGACUCCUACGGGAGGCAGCAGUGGGGAAUAUUGCGCAAGGGGCGCAAGCCUGAUGCAGCGACGCCGCGUGAGGGAUGACGGCCUUCGGGUUGUAAACCUCUUUCAGCACCGACGAAGCGCAAGUGACGGUAGGUGCAGAAGAAGGACCGGCCAACUACGUGCCAGCCGCCGCCGUAA
rnacentral:rRNA from 1 species